rnacentral:lncRNA from 1 species
UUGCUAUUGAAUGGACGGACCUGGAAAGGAGCUAUUUUUGGUGGCUUUAAAAGUAAGGAUUCUGUCCCCAAACUUGUGGCUGAUUUUAUGGCUAAGAAGUUUUCACUGGAUUCAUUAAUAACCCAUGUUUUACCCUUUGAAAAAAUCAAUGAAGGAUUUGAACUGCUUCGCUCAGGAAAGAGUAUCCGUACUAUCCUGACAUUUUGAGACCAUACACAUGCCUGCACUUGUAGCAGGCUUCUGGCUUCUCCAUCAUCCAAAACAUCAGCCAAACAUCAUCAAUGAUUCUGUUCUUUUUAUUCUGUGCUACCAGUAUAUCACAUAUGGGAAUUUUCCAAAGGAAAAAGAAAUGGAUGUGAAAUCAUUUGUCAAGCAAAUGUUUAAAAUUCAAGUGGAAGCUAGAGGAACAAUCAUCUGGGUAACUGAGUCCAAUAAACUUUCCUUCUUAAUCAUUCUAUGCAUGUUGAAUCAUGUCAUCUUUCCAUUGAGAAAAGAUAUUUCUUUUGACUUCUUGCACUUUUUAUAUCUUUGCCAACCUUAGUCAUUGAAGCCUUCAUCACUAAGAAGGUCCUGUGAUACUUGUCCCCCAGUAUACAUGUGAUGGCCUAUGGUGCUUGAAGUCCUCUACCUGUAUCCACUGUCUGUAUAUUCCUUUUUAUAAAAUAUAGCAAAACCCCAGAGGAAAAACUA